rnacentral:rRNA from 1 species
UGACAGGGAGACAGGUGCUGCAUGGCUGUCGUCAGCUCGUGUCGUGAGAUGUUCGGUUAAGUCCGCUAACGAGCGCAACCCUCGCUGUGUGUUACAAGUGUCACACGGAACUGCCGGUCAUAAACCGGAGGAAGGUGGGAUGACGUCAAGUCAGCAUGGCCUUUAUAUCCUGGGCUACACACACGCUACAAUGGGAAGGGACAAUAGGUUGCGAAGCCGCGAGGCGGAGCCAAUCCAGCAAAACUUCCCUCAGUUCAGAUUGCAGGCUGCAACUCGCCUGCAUGAAGUUGGAGUUGCUAGUAAACGCAGGUCAGCCAUACUGCGUUGAAUACGUUCCCGGGGCUU